UACGUAGGGGGCAAGCGUUGUCCGGAUUUAUUGGGCGUAAAGAGCGUGUAGGCGGCUUGGUAGGUCCGCUGUGAAAACUCGAGGCUCAACCUCGAGAUGUCGGCGGAAACCACUUGGCUAGAGUCCGGAAGAGGAGAGUGGAAUUCCCGGUGUAGCGGUGAAAUGCGCAGAUAUCGGGAAGAACACCUAUGGCGAAGGCAGCUCUCUGGGACGGUACUGACGCUGAGACGCGGAAAGCGUGGGGAGCGAACAGG
rnacentral:rRNA from 1 species